GUAUGACGCUGGCGGCAGGCCUAACACAUGCAAGUCGAACGGUAACAGGAUUAGCUUGCUAAUCGCUGACGAGUGCCGGACGGGUGAGUAAUGCUUGGGAACUUGCCUUUGCGAGGGGGAUAACAGUUGGAAACGACUGCUAAUACCGCAUAAUGUCUACCGGACCAAACGGGGCUUCGGCUCCGGCGCAAAGAGAGGCCCAAGUGAGAUUAGCUAGUUGGUGAGGUAAAGGCUCACCAAGGCGACGAUCUCUAGCUGUUCUGAGAGGAAGAUCAGCCACACUGGGACUGAGACACGGCCCAGACUCCUACGGGAGGCAGCAGUGGGGAAUAUUGCACAAUGGGGGAAACCCUGAUGCAGCCAUGCCGCGUGUGUGAAGAAGGCCUUCGGGUUGUAAAGCACUUUCAGUUGUGAGGAAAAGUUAGUAGUUAAUACCUGCCAGCCGUGACGUUAACAACAGAAGAAGCACCGGCUAACUCCGUGCCAGCAGCCGCGGUAAUACGGAGGGUGCGAGCGUUAAUCGGAAUUACUGGGCGUAAAGCGCACGCAGGCGGUUUGUUAAGCUAGAUGUGAAAGCCCCGGGCUCAACCUGGGAUGGUCAUUUAGAACUGGCAGACUAGAGUCUUGGAGAGGGGAGUGGAAUUCCAGGUGUAGCGGUGAAAUGCGUAGAUAUCUGGAGGAACAUCAGGGCGAAGGCGACUCCCUGGCCAAAGACUGACGCUCAUGGCGAAAUGUGGACGACA
rnacentral:rRNA from 1 species